rnacentral:rRNA from 1 species
CUGGGUAGCUAUGUGCGGAAGGGAUAAGUGCUGAAAGCAUCUAAGCAUGAAGCCCCCCUCAAGAUGAGAUUUCCCAUAGCGUAAGCUAGUAAGAUCCCUGAAAGAUGAUCAGGUUGAUAGGUUCGAGGUGGAAGCAUGGUGACAUGUGGAGCUGACGAAUACUAAUAGAUCGAGGACUUAACCA